UUGGGGCAGUAGACCUCUAGUGUGUCGUUCGAGAAAUACAUUGGUCUUCGUUAAAUAGAGAUGGAGAUACGACCGGCACACCCGAUAUCCGAUAGUGGACUGCAGUUGCAGCGUAAGCGCGCGUGGAUAUGAUACAGAUAAAAAUACAUGAAAUAUGAACAACACAAGUCAACAGACUGACACUAGAGAGAGCUAGAGCUAGACAGCAGAGAGAGUGACAACGAGGGAAGUGUCUAGACCUGUCAAGUUGGUAAAGUGGAGUCAGGCGAUUUUGCAAUGCCAGAGAACGUACAGCAGCUCAUCACUUACUCGGAAAAGUACCUGGAUGAUCACUUGGAGUACAG